AUCGCUUCUCGGCCUUUUGGCUAAGAUCAAGUGAACUAGAUAUGUUGUAUUUCUAUAAAUAUUUUGCUUUGGGACACAAGUAAUUUGGAAAUAGUUUGAUCUUUAUACAUCUUGUUUUUAAGAUUUGACAAAUUAGAGUAGAACAGUUUCAGUCUAGGGCUAAUUAUUUCCC
ensembl:snRNA U2 U2 spliceosomal RNA